CCCGGAUAACGAGCGUAGCGUACUCCUGCUUGUAUCGAAAUUUAUAAAAAAAAAAAAAAAAAAAAAAAAAUUAAAAAAGAACACUCGUGACUGAUCGACUGGAAAGGCAUGAAACUGAAAGGGUAAAAAUACGUUCGCGUACGCUUGACUCCGAUCGGUUUUAAGUACGUUCAGUAGGACGGCGCUCCUUUUUCAAACUCGCGAUCCUGUUAGUUAGCUUUUCCCUUACGAUCGAAUUGAAAUUUACGUAUCACUCUUUCGAUUUCACGCUUGAAACUUCCAAAUGCUCCGUUUUUUUUUUCUUUUUGUUUCGCUGUCGCUAAGUGUCUAACGAAAUGUUUCUUGUGGGAGAUUAUAUCCUUUUAAGUUCAUUUUUGUACGAAGUUUAACAGUAUUAACGCUAUCUGUAGGUAGCAGCGGAUACGUGCUAAAUCACACUCACCGUACUUUAGUUAACAAAUUUUAACUAAUUUUAUUUUACGCCUACACUGCCUAUCGUUAAUCUACAUAAGUACACGAUUAUAUAUGUAUGAAAUCACCACACCGACUGUACAUAAAAUAUAUCGAGAACUAUUUUGCUACGAAGCUGCGUACACUUUCAAAACAUCAGAGUGUUUCAGUUGAUCGCAUAUCAUUUGACGAGCUUCGUAUGAUCUUGAAACGGUUAUUGAAAUUGUUAAUGGUAUACGGAGGGAUAUAAGAGCGAUCGUAAUUAUUAAGCAGUUCGAUUUCGGUUUCAUGCCUUCCGUGAAUUUAUCACGCAAAAGCUUAUACGUCGCAGAGAUCAUUCAAAUUACAUUUUACAUAACAUAUCGAAACACACAAAGAGAAGAGAAAUUACAAAUUUUCCUCCGUAGAUUCUAACGUCUACCGUGAAAAUUGAAUAGGACGUAGAUCAACAAAAAUUAUACAUAUGUAUUCGACACAGAUGAUCCGUGUUCUGCCCAAAACACGAAGAUUCGGGAGACUUUCUCAAAUUGUAUCUUAUCGUCUAUGAAAGGACCCGUUCAUUUCGGAGUAAAACUUUUUUAUUCUUGGAACACGCGUGUUUAAACGAUGAUAAUUAUUAGAAGCGUAACAAAAAGAAAAAAGAGAGAACCAAAGUAUGCUUGUAAUUGAAUAUACAUCAAUAUAGGUUUGAUUUUAAAGCAAUAAAAAAAAAAAAAAAAAAAAAAAAAAAGAACGAACUUUUACCGUCUCUGUUUAACUUUACAAAGAAUAAAAACGAAAAAAAAAAGAACAAAGACAGGAACGUUUCCUUGGAACGAAUCGUUGCCUGCUAGAUGCGAAUGCAACUGAAUUUAAGCCAGAGAAAAAGAAAAAGAAUGUAAAAAAAAAACUAUACGUGACAUAAUUAUACAGUACUGUGCACUUACUUUGUGAAGAACUUUGUCGAGAGCUUAUUUAAUAUGUUUAUUCCACGAAGUUACGAGAAGAAGAGCGUUGCGAGACGUGAUAUGUUCAAAUCCUCGUGGAUGUUUCUGAAAAUGCACCCAAGCAGUGAAGAGAUACUUAACGUGAAAAUACGCGCGCGAUGGCGAAGGAGAAAAGGAACUUGUCAGCGCUGCCGAUUAAACGAGCAAGUAAGAUUGUCUUGAUGUGUUGCCAGUAUAUCAGAUGUUUUGUUACAAAUAUGCAACAUUCGUUUUACUUGAUGAGACUUUCGUUGGGAAUUGAGAAGCUUGCAUUGCUUGUUUACUUGCACGUUAAUGCAAUUAAUAAAGAGAUUGUAUUUUAAUCUCAAGUUCUUUAUUAAAUAGAAAUUAAACAAAAUUUCCUGACGAUGCAUGUUAUAAUGAGAUGUAGAUAUUAAGAUAAUAAAAUCAUUGACGAAGUUUCCAAAAAAGAAAAAUAUAUAUAUAUAUUGUCAUGGAAAACUGCGUCUUUCUCUUCGUUUCUGAUUGUUUAUAAAUUGUAUAUUAUCAGUAAAUUAGUAUUAUUUAUAGGUAUAUAAAAAGCUUGUUACUUGAGAAACAUGUAUCGUCAUAAGUAUAUUAGAAAAGACAAGAAUAAGUGUACCGUUUAAUUGACAAAGGCAAGAAUAAUACUGCUCGCGGUAAUGUCAUUAUAUACCAUUAGAUGAUCAUUAAUUGAUGAAGAAAAUAAAGAAGGGAGAGAUCAAACACUUUUACGUAUGUUUUUCUUUUACGAUAUAAAAUUCGGGAAGUACUUCACUAAACGAAUUUGUAACAAAACACGAUCGACUAACUAGAGAGAAUUAUUAAACAACAUUGAGAAUUUGUUUAAUCGGCUAGUCAGCAUAGGUGUUUUUCUUCUUGCAGGAUUAUAUUAAGAGGCAAUGUAAUCGACAGACUAUCACUUGCUACGUGUGAAGACGGCGAGUACUAACUUUAUCGUUUGAAGGUCCGAACUUCUCUACUAGUCUGGCCAACGAUUGCGUACCACUGCCGAGCCAUACCGAUGUACCGUGUUAGCGUACCGUGAGUGCCCGUACACGUUGUAUCCAUUAAUUAAUGGCCAAGCACAUCCGACGACGAAACGUUCGAUGUACUUAGAGCGAAAGUGAGAGCGCGAGCGAGCGAGCGAGAAAGAGAAAGAGAGAGAGAGAGAGAUUGCAAGUUAUAGAAAAAAAGUGUAUUGCGAUUUAUGUAAAAAAAGGAAAAAAAAAAACUAGCAAAGAAACGUUAUGUCGCUAGCUUCUUCACACCUGUAUGUAUUUUAUGCUGUUAUUGGCCGUCGGAUGUCUUGAAGUAAUACGCUUAAAUGGAGAUGAGAACUAAACUUAUUAACUUUGUGGAUUUCCUCUCUCGUUAUUAUCUGUAUCUUCCCACUGGAUAUGCACCGAGAGUAUUGUUCCUUUUAUAAGCUUGCAAGUGCAAGUAAACGUCGAACGAACAAUCAGACGUUACGUUUGUGAAAGAGUGAGAAUUGCGAAUACAAAUGUUACGACAGAAGGAGAGAAUGACCGCGGAAAUGCGGAAUCGCAAAAGAAAGCGGGAGAAAAGGAUGACAGAGUGUGAAAGAGGUAGUGACUAGAGUGACAGAAGGAUAAAGAGAAGAGUUAGAAGAGAUCCCGUUGUCCUUCAGUGUGCAUGCCUUUACGUGGAAAGAGAACGAAUCUUCGUGUUACUCGAAUGCUUAACGAGCUAAUGUCUCUUAUGUUUUCUUUUUUUUGUUAACAGUAUCAUUUGUAAGCAUGAUCUCUUGAUGGAACAUAUACGACACAAACAUACACCCAAAACAUGUGCACAUUACACAUACACAUACCAAAUUUCGCGAUUAGGGUAUAAUAUUAGUGAUGAAUUCCAAAACAGAACAGAGUGUCUCGGUGAAAGAAGAAGACAGGAAGGAGGGAGCACGCGCAAGAGAAUGAAAGUGAGAAUGCGUGAAACAAAAAAAGAAAGAAAGAAAAAAAGAAAUGCGCGAGUGAAUCUUGUAAAAACGAGAGCCUCCGUAUUUAUAUCGCUAUCCUGCCACAUAUCGUGGGCGUGAUUAUGCUGCAACUAUGUUGCAAUUUAGCUUGUAGUUUUUUUUAGUCGAUUUUUCAUGCGUCACCAGUUUUUAAAUACAACACGACUGACUGCUGGUUAAGUAUGGUUGUGAGCGAUUAAGAAAAUGUUUCCCUGUCACACCCAGAAUAUGUGUCCCGUUUUUGGAAGAUAUAUAUAUAUAUAUUUUUUUUCUCUUCUUUAUUCAUUUUCGUACUUUGUCUAGAAAGGAUUGUUAUGCUCGUCCUAAUGAUGAAUCCAGUCGUCCGUUAUUAGCGACAGAACAAUGAUUGAGUUUGAAAGCGAUUAUUUGUAUAUUUGUAAGUCGGUACGAAUAGAUCGGACCAAGAUCAAUGUAUGUAUGUGUCUUUCAUUUCCUCGCUUUUAACGAGUCACUAUAACUCGCGACUUAUUCAUUUUUCAAUUAUGAGAACGACACACGUUCAUGUUUUAUAGCGAGACUUGAACCGAUCACAAAGCAAUGCGUGAAAGAUACGUGGUUUCCGUUGCGUUCCUUUUUUUUCCCCGAUCGUUUGUUUUGUAAUUACUACAAAGCGAAAUUUAUUAUAUUUAAUUAUGUACUGACAAAUUUAUUCAAUAUUUUCUUUUUUUAUAUCUAUUAUGUAAUAUUUGUUUCUUUCAAUUGUUUCUUUAACCCUGAUUGUUUUCUGUGUGCAUUCUCAUGCAUGGAAUUGGGAUUUUCCUUAAUGUCCCACUGUAUAUGUAUUUUCACUUCUAUUGUGUAAAGCAAUGGUUAAAAAUUGUAGAUUUAUCAUUAUUAAAUUUUCAUUUGUUUUUAAAAUGUUUAUCUUGGAAUGUGUCAGUAACGUUUUAUUAAAAAAAAAAAAAAAAAAAAAAAAAACGCAUUCGAUUAUAAAUAUACGUUAAUCAUUGUGUCGCGUUUCCGUAGUGAAUUUUUCAUACGUUUUAUUUUGUGAACGUAAGCUAGAUAAUAUGCGGUUAAUGUGCGUUUUUAAUUAUUAUUCAAGCUUUUUAAGCAUGUGUAAGCUAAAGCAUUUUGUAGCUUGUGUUCGACGAUUAUUUGCCAUUUAUAUGGAAUUGGCAGCUCAUGUGCAUUAUGAUAGUAUGCCCAUGUAACGAGUGUGAUUGAUAACGUUAGAAAUUUUGAGAAGUUUAUCGAUAUAGUGAGGAGGAGACGUUAUGCUUAUGACGAAAGAGAAAGCAAAAAAUCAGACGUCGAUUAAUUUUUGUAAAUAGAAAUUAUUAAAAUGAAUAUAGAAGUACGCACACGGAAACACGAGAAGCUAAAAUGUGUGAAAUGUCGGAGAUAUCGGGACAUAUAUCAGCUUCAAAUUAUAUAUACGUAUACAUGUAUGCAUAAACAAUAUCAAUAAUGGCGAUUAAUAAGCUGUAUUAUUACUACAGUAAUUACCACUAUCUCGCAACGGCAGUGAUUGACUAAUUUUAUUACCACGUAAUCUUAAACGAUGCCAGUGAGAAGUGGAUGUGUUCUUUGUGACAAAAUCGGACGAGAGAAGUAGUGUGAAAAUCGCUAAUGAAUUGUUUCAUUCGCUAAUUUAUAGAGACAAUUUAAAGGUGUCGAAGAUGCUUUUCGAAGAUAUUUUGUCUAUUUCGUACAUGUCUACAAACACAAAGACGAAGAUGUCUAAAGAUUUUGAGCGAGGAUACUCUAUUAUAUUGAUGGAACGACAUUGUUCAUUUUUAACGUGCUUUUGUUAUUAGUGGAUUCGUUUUCUUUCCACUUACGAAACUAAUAAUCUAUUAAAGACAAAAAAAAAAAAAAGAAGAUUAAUGUACAUAGAAAUUAAAUUGUUUGAGUACUAUUCCGAUGAAUUCUGUGUUUACGCCAGCAAGCGUAAGAAUACAAGGGGUGGAGAGCGGUUUGCAUCCUAAUGGUGAA